rnacentral:rRNA from 1 species
GAUGAACGCUAGCUACAGGCUUAACACAUGCAAGUCGAGGGGCAUCAUGGGAGUUGCUUGCAACUUCUGAUGGCGACCGGCGCACGGGUGAGUAACGCGUAUCCAACCUUCCCCCAGUAGGGCAUAGCCCGGCGAAAGUCGGAUUAAUACCCUAUGUUCUUCGUAGAGGACAUCUGAAAUGAAGCAAAGAUUUAUCGCUAGGGGAUGGGGAUGCGUCUGAUUAGGUUGAUGGCGGGGUAACGGCCCACCAUGCCGACGAUCAGUAGGGGUUCUGAGAGGAAGGUCCCCCACAUUGGUACUGAGACACGGACCAAACUCC